GAAGAAUAUAACACUGGACUUACUUUCGUUUUCUUACCAUUUUUAAUUCCUACUUUUUCUUUCUUCCCCAUAUCGGACUACUGGUUUGAUUGAAUACCACAGGAGGACUCUGUUUGAGCAUGCGCAUUACCCUGUCAGCAUGGAAGAGGAAGUUUAGUUCCAGAAACACCUGAGCAGAACAUGUCUCCUAUUCAAACCGCUACGGAGUGUUGACAGUGAAAGGUGAAAGUGAAAACCAGAGUUCAAUGGCAAUGAUCUCAGCUACUGAUCUGGAGCAGCUGGCUGAAAUAGAGCUGCAGAAGGAGGAAGAUGAGGAACAGGGUCGUCACAGCUACCGUCCGGAUCGCCCUCCACCCCCACGUAGAGUCAGCUUCAGCCAGGACACCUCUCACCCCUACUACGAUGUGGCUCGACACGGGAUCCUCCAGGUCACAGGUAACCAGGACACCUCUCACCCCUACUACGAUGUGGCUCGACACGGGAUCCUCCAGGUAACCAGGACACCUCCUACUACGAUGUGGCUCGACACGGGAUCCUCCAGGUCACAGGUAAACAGGACACCCCCUACUACGAUGUGGCUCGACACGGGAUCCUCCAGGUCACAGGUAACCAGGACACCCCCUACUACGAUGUGGCUCGACACGGGAUCCUCCAGGUCACAGGUAACCAGGACACCCCCUACUACGAUGUGGCUCGACACGGGAUCCUCCAGGUCACAGGACACCUCUCACCCCUACUACGAUGUGGCUCGACACGGGAUCCUCCA
rnacentral:lncRNA from 1 species